UUCGUUGUAGUCUAGUUGGUUAGGAUACUCGGCUCUUACUCGAGAAACCCAGGUUCGAUUUCUGGCAACAAAU